UACGUAGGCAGCAAGCGUUGUCCGGAAUUAUUGGGCGUAAAGAGCUUGUAGGUGGUUUGUCGCGUCUGCUGUGAAAAUCCGAGGCUCAACCUCGGACUUGCAGUGGGUACGGGCAGACUAGAGUGUGGUAGGGGGAGACUGGAAUUCCUGGUGUAGCGGUGGAAUGCGCAGAUAUCAGGAGGAACACCGAUGGCGAAGGCAGGUCUCUGGGCCAUUACUGACACUGAGAAGCGAAAGCAUGGGGAGCGAACAGG
rnacentral:rRNA from 1 species